UACGUAGGGUGCGAGCGUUGUCCGGAAUUACUGGGCGUAAAGAGCUCGUAGGUGGUUUGUCGCGUUGUUCGUGAAAACUCACAGCUUAACUGUGGGCGUGCGGGCGAUACGGGCAGACUGGAGUACUGCAGGGGGAGACUGGAAUUCCUGGUGUAGCGGUGGAAUGCGCAGAUAUCAGGAGGAACACCGGUGGCGAAGGCGGGUCUCUGGGCAGUUUAGCUGACACUGAGGCGCGACAGCGUGGGGGAGCAAACAGG
rnacentral:rRNA from 1 species